GAUGUCCCCAAAGACCCCUCACCCUGCUCUGGUUUCCUUUUUCCCUCAUCUCAACGCCUCAGGGAGAAGUAAAUCUGCAUCUCACUUCCCCAACUCACCCUCAACUCCCAAUCACUCGCCUUUACUAAAACCUGGGUCCUCCUCCCCGACAUCCUCUAAUUCCCACCGAGCUCUCACUCCAGCGAGAUACACAUCUACUGCGCCUGUCUUCCAGUAAGCUGGAGGCCCCCUCACCUGAACGCCGCUGCCGCUGCCGUCCCAGAAGCCGAAACGUGCUGGCGCCGGACGGCCUCCCAGAAUCGGUCACCGCUGAGCUCCUGACGGCCCCUAGGGAAAGCGAACGCCACCACCUCCAACUCUGCCCGCCCCGGGCCAGGCCGUCACCGUACCCACUGCCAGUACCACAGCCGCCAUGUUGAAGUCCUACUUCCCUCCUCCUUCCCCUCACCACUCCGCCCCUUUGGGCGUCUGACGUCAUGGCGCCGCGCUCCACCCUCCCUGGGCCAAUGGGAGGAGCCGACGAAUUCCAGAGAAGUGGUGCCUGGGUGGCUCAGUCGUUAG